AGCAGAGUAGCCUAGUGGAUAAAGCAUGGUUUGGGGAGCCAGAGGACCUGGGUUAUAAUCCUGGCUCUACCA
rnacentral:tRNA from 1 species